UACAGAGACUGCAAGCGUUUAUUCGGAUUCACUGGGCGUAAAGGGUGCGCAGGCGGUCGGGUGUGUCAGAUGUGAAAUCCCGAGGCUCAACCUCGGAACUGCGUCUGAAACUACUCGACUAGAGUACUGGAGAGGGUAACGGAAUUCACGGUGUAGCAGUGAAAUGCGUAGAUAUCGUGAGGAACACCAGAGGCGAAGGCGGUUACCUGGACAGUUACUGACGCUCAGGCACGAAAGCAUGGGGAGCAAAAGGG
rnacentral:rRNA from 1 species